UGCUUUUCUUUUACUUUUACAAUGUAUUAAGAAACAAGCACUUUUUGGCAGGUGUAGGAACGAAAAUAAACUUUAAUACUAACAUUUUCAACGCUUUUCACGUCAUCUUCAGGUACAAUACAAAAGAUUCUAACAAAAAGAACAAAAACAUUCCAAAACAACGUUACGUUGUUAUGGUAACAAACGUAAAAUAUCUUAACAUAAAACUGUGUAAAAACAAGAAAAUUAAUAAAAUAUUAAUAGUGAAUAUAGUAUUAUGAAGGUUAUAAUGUAUUAUUUACAGUAAAUAUUAAUUAAAUAAAGAGGAUCGCGCUUAGAGUCUAAUGACAAGUAAUCUCCGUUGCAUCGUACAGCGGUCUUCAUUGGUCUUUUUCUUAUGGAGCUUUGUUGUCUGGGGCGUGAUCUUCCUAUCAAGGGGUUGUCUUAUCUAGGAGAUAUUUCCAUGCAGAUGGCAGUUCUUGUGUCGGGUGGUUAUUGACGAGUUUCUCUUUUUUCUGCCUGGUGUAAAUUCCUAUAGUCUCAGCUAGAUACGCAUGUUUCUCUCUCUCCAAGCUUUUAAUUACUUCAGCCUUCUGCCAAUCCUAUGUUGCCUUCUGCCAAUCUUAUGUUGCACCCUGAGGCUACCAUUGCUAGGGGAGUGCUGGUUCUUCCACUGGUUAUGUCUUUUUUUUGUGCUCGUUGAGCCUCUUACUAAGAUUUCUAGUGGUUACGCUCAUGUAAGCUUGGUCUUCGUUUGUGGUGUUAUCGUGGACCGGGAUCCUGUAAACUCCUGCUUUCUGGCUAUUCUUCAAUUUGU
rnacentral:lncRNA from 1 species